rnacentral:tRNA from 1 species
CGCAGAGUGGAGCAGUGGUAGCUCGUCGGGCUCAUAACCCGAAGGUCGUCAGUUCGAGUCUGGCCUCUGCAA